rnacentral:lncRNA from 1 species
UAUAAAAGUUAAACUUUGUAAGAAUAUAUUUGCAAUUCACUAUAUUUACAGGAACCUGUAUAAAAUUAACCCUACAAUUAUAUAUAUACUUUUCAACUACAUACAAAUCAAAAUAAUUAUUUAUAGCUGCAAUACUUGCUACUACAUCUAAAUUUUAUUUCAACUGUACUAUAUUUUCAAUUGCAUUCGACAAAACAAAUUCGUAAUGUAAUGCACUUAUGCACACAUUUUCUAGUUAUAUUAUAUGGUUAAUUUCGUACUCCUUUCUUUAAAGAUAUCGAAUAGUAAAUAAAUUCUUAGAAAAUUUCAGUGAUCAGAUUUGUCCCUUCAAAAUUUCCGGCAUGCUUAUAUUUGCCCUUCUGCUUUAUUAUCGUUGGUCCGCUAUUUGUUUUCCAACAGUUAGUCAGUGCAAUAACAAUAUUAUUAUUAUUAUUAUUAUAAAUUUGUUACUUCAAAAUGUUUCAAUGAUUAGGAGUUUGCAAAUAUGCCCUCCCAAAAUAUCUCAAUGGGUAUUUUCUUUUUGGCUAAAUUAUAUAAAACUCGCUUCUAAAUACUCAUUUUUUUACUUUCCCUCUUUCACUUUCAAAAAUCUAUAUUUUACACCCUUAAUAUUUUAAGUUGUUGCAUUUAGCCCCUCCUUCGUCAGGAUUCUUUACUAUUCCGUCAAUUUCUUAUAAUUUAUACAAAAAAUGCUCUUCAAAAUGACAGAAGUAUAUUAAAAUUUAUUUUUUUAUAGAAGGAAUAAGGGCAAUUUGGUCAUUUUGCCCUCUCCAUUAACGCCGUACUCUCCUGAAAACAUUUUCAAAAUUUUAAAGGAACAAAAUAUAAGUUUUUAAAAGUUAGGAAGGAAAAGUAAAAAAACAUGUAUUUACAAAAGAUUUUCUGUAUUUUAACAUUUCCUUUUCUAUUAAAAUUGAUAGGGUUAAUUGCAUACUGCUCCCUAUAAACAUAUCAAAUAGCAAAUAUAUCCCAACAAAGUUUAACUUUUCAUAUUUAUUUCUUUAAAAGUCCUAAUAUUUUGAAAUAUAAUCCUACUGGUAGGAUCCGUUAAAAAAAAUUAGUUAAUCAUAUGUAAAAUAUUUGACCCUGAUUAAUAAAUAAGAUAAAUUGACCUUUUUUACUCCUUUUAUAUUAUAUUAUUUGUUAUGGUAGAAAGAAAGAAAGUGACUGUUGAAAAUUUUUUAGAGAACAUUUCUGCAUAAUUCUAAUAGUUGGAGUUUUGAAGUGACAUAUUUGUUAUGAAAAAAAAUCAUUUCACUUAUAUUUUGUUAAAAGUAAACAGUGUUCUAGUGGUAAUAAACCAGAUGGACAAAUAUGAAUAUAACUGAAUUUUUGUAAAAAUAAACAUAAAAAGUUGAACUUUAUAAAGAUAUAUUUAUUAUUGGCUAAAUUACAUAAAACCUCUCUGUCAAAACCCGAUUUUCCACUUUCUCCUCUCUGUCAUUUAAAAACCUACACUUUGCCCCCUUGUAAAAUGAAAAAUGUUCACUUCGCCCCCUACCGUUAGUAAUCCAUUAGGGUUUCGUUUAUUAAAUAUUAUUAUAUAUUUUUUUAUACCAAAAAUACCCUCAACUUUCUCUUCUGUGAAUAUGGUGAGGGGCAAAAUGGUGAGGGCAAAAUAGUCAUUUUAUCAUCACAGUACACACCAUACCCCUUAUGAAUAUUUUUUUAUUUUAUAAGGGGGCAAAGUGUAGGUUUGUAAAUGAUAGGGAGAAAAAUGAAAAAUUAGGUUUUAAUAGGAGAGUUUUCUGUAAUUUAGUCUUAAUUAUUCGAUAUGUUAUUAUUCGAUAUGUUUACAGUAAGAUUUAUGAAAUAAACUCAAAUGAAUAGGUUGUAUGUUUGGUCCUCAAAC